UAAUAGUUUAGUUUAAGUGGAUUUGGGAGUUCUUGGAAUAAGCUAGUUACAUGUUUGAUGCUUGUGUAAUUGUACUCCUUGAAUUGUAAAAUGAGAUUAUAUGAUAAUAAUUGGAGGAUAUCAAGCAUGCUACUAUAUGUUGAUGUGUUGAACACGAAUUAAGUUUAAGCUAAAGCAUGCUAAUGUGUAGUAUGAUGAUGUAAUUGAGUUCCUAUGGUUUGUAUUUGACAAACGUAUGAAUUAUAUGUUAAGUUGAAACAAAGGAGCUUUGCUGUCAGUUUUCGGCUUGACAGGGCAGUAUGUUUCGAGGUGCUUUUGAUGAUGUUUUCGUAAUCCAAAUAACUUGAAGUUUUUACUGUUAUAACUUCAUCAUGUGUAGUCGUUCUCUGUAAAAUUUCAGCUAAAUCCGAGACCAAUAGACAUGUCAAACUAUUUUCUGAAAUGUACUGCACGGAGCAGCAGAGUUCAGUGGCAGAUUCUGUCUUUGGUCAUAUAACUUCUUAUACACUUGAAAUAUUGUGUUUUUGUAAAUUUCUUAGAAAUAUAGACGUUAAUAGCUUUCUAAAGAAGUGAGGUUUAUAUUUUUCUUUGAAGUGGUUGAUUUUAUAUAAUUUUUCAAAGUUAGGAUUCAAAUGGGUAUGUUUCUUAAACUUGUGAUUGGUAGUUAAUUGAAAUCCUAAACUACUAAACUCAAAUUAAGGUUUUAUUGUUCUAAUUACCUAUUGAGGAUUAUUGAUUACUAAGCUUGUUAAUAUGAUAGUUGAUGGACAUAAUUAUGUUUAUAUGAUUAAUUACUUUGGGAUUUUGUGUUUUACAUGUAUGGUUAGUUGUAAACUGAUCUUUAUGGAAUGGAUUUGUUUACUUUAAACUUUCUCAAGUAGAGGAAUUCCUAUAAGAUAGGAAUAUUAGUUUAUACUUUCUUAAAGUUCAUAAGAGUUAGUAUAUUGGUUAGUUUAGUUGAUUCAACCCUAGCUCUGCAGAAGAUUAAAAGUUUAUUGGGAUGUUAUUUAUAGCUAAUUCUUCUUAUCUAGUUAUCCAAUCUUAUUUUAGAAUCUUGCUAUUAUGAAGGUGACAGUAGCAAUGAUAGAUAAGUGAGCAAGAGUUCCUACACCGUUAAGCGUAUCAGGUUAAGCUGUGAUGCGGAUGGAAGCGAGCAGAGCAAAGUCUUGAUGUUAGUGUGUUAAAUUAGGCUCAGGAUUUCAUGUCCUCAUACAUGUAAUCCACUUGAGUUAUUUCCGCUGCAACACUUAAUGUACUUUACUUUAUUGAUGUGUUGUACAGAUUUUAAACCAAUAGCUUUGAGAAUUAUGUCACUUAGACAACUUGUCGUUGUGAUAUUGUAAGUUGUCUACUCGUGAGUUUUAAAAGUGAUUAUUUAUAAUUACCAAA